rnacentral:rRNA from 1 species
UGGGGGNACCCUGACGCAGCAACNCCGCGUGAGGGAAGGAGGCCUUCGGGNCGUNAAGCUCCGUCGAGUGGGAAGAACUUAUUUUGUGCUAAUAUCACGAAGUAAUGACGGUACCACCAAAGGAAGCNCCGGCUAACUCCGUGCCAGCNGCCGCGGUAAUACGGAGGGUGCAAGCGUUAUUCGAGAAUUACUGGGCGUANAGGGCGCGUAGGCGGCUUUUUAAGUCAGGCGUGAAAUACCGGGGCUAAACUCCGGAAGUGCGUUUGAAACUAGAAAGCUUNCAGUACGGGNAGAGGGAAGUGGAAUUCCUGGUGUAGAGGUGAAAUUCGUGAGAUAUCAGGAGGAACACCGGUGGCGAAAGCGACUUCCUGGACCGAUACUGACGCUGAGGAUUCGAAAGCCUGGGUANCAAACAGGAUUANAGNCCCUGGUNGUCCNCGCCGNAAACCGUUGANCANUNGUGUGUAGCGGGNAUUGACUCCUGCUGGCGCCUNAGCUAACGCGUUUAGNGGUCCGUCCUGGGGAAUACNGGUCNNAAGGGUUUAUACUC